AUUUUCUCUAAGUAAUGAAAGGUAUACUUUUCUAACACUUGUAUUAAUGUUUAACAGUGUGUUUUUAUAAAAACAUAAAUAGAACUAAGCUGCGUAAAAACUCUAAAAGAGGUAUACUAAAGAAGAAAUGGUAUGACAUUACUGCAAGUUCUUAAGGAGAAAAUGAGUCGGUGGAUGUCUCAAACCUCCUCAGUGGUUUUGGCUGUAUUGCUCUGCCUAGAUAAUGCCUUUCAUGAUCCUUGUUUAGUAUUUGUAUUUCUUGAUCUAUGGUUAGAGUCACUUAUUGGGUCACACAAUAAAGUGAUAAACCAAUAAAUUAUAAAAUAAUCUCUAUAUAAGUGAUUAAUGAUAUGAAAAAAAUUGAGGUGGUUUGAGGGAGAAAGAAAAUUCCAGGGAAAGAUGACAGAAAGUGGUUAAAAUAAACCUGAAGGUUAGAAUAAGCAUAAUAAGGAAGGUGGCAUUCAAGCAGACUUGAAGGAGGCAAAGGAAUAAGUCAACGGAUAUCUUGGAGAAGACCAUUCUAAGACUGGGGAAUAGCUAGAGCAAAAGCCCUAAGUGGGGAGGAUAUUUGGCAUAUUCAAGAAACAUCAGCUAGGCCAGCAUAAUUGGAAUAUAGUGAUUGACGAAGUCAUACAAAUGACAUAAGAGAAGUAAUAAGGGGGUCACCGAGACAUGUGGGACCCUAUAUGUUAUUGCAGACCAAAGCCAUUUCAAGGUUUUGAGCAGAAACAUGACAUGAUUUGACUUAUGUUUUAACAGGCUCACUCUGUUUGCUCUGUUAGGAUUACACUGGAGGGAAUCUAUGAGAAAAAUGGGAAGACUUAUCUGGAGGCAGAGGGUGAUGAAAUUUCCAUUUCCUAUCAGUUAGAAAUUGCAUGCAAUUUUGAGGGAAAAGAACUUAAAGUAAGUGUUAAAAUAUAAAUGUAUAUAUUCUUUCACAUUUAGAAAAUUCUGUAUCAUUCCAUCUAAAGCUGGCCUGGUGGAUCCAUGUUCAUCAGGGAAUCAGGGUCUUUCUCACCUUUUGCUUUUCCAUAACGAUCCAAGAUACCUACUGGUACUCACCUAUUUAUUCCAGGUAGAAUAAAUUCAGACCUAGAAUUGCAAGGCUAAAAUAAAGAAGAAAAGAAGAACAAAGGGCUCAUACCCACUCCCUAGGAAGUUUUCCUAACAUUCCUUUAAGAGUUUCAAUGACAUUUCAUCGAUUAUUUCUACCUAAAAGGGAGCCUAGGUAACUUGUCCCUUUAGCUGAACAAAUUGCCUAUGGUUUUGUUUCUAAGGAAAAAGGGGAAGAAUGGGUAUUAGGAGGCAACUACUGGUUUCUGCCACAUAGUGUGAUUUAUAACCACGUUAGCACUAUCUUUUAGAAAUUCUCUAUUUACAUGGUUUCAAGUUUAUAGUUCUGCUACAAAUGAAAUCCCUAAAGAUUAUCCUAUCUGGAAUGCUCUCAAGAGCUGCUUGAAAGUUCUUUCACAUUUUGGUAGAUGGAAAAAUGAGGUUGGGUGCAAUGGCUCAUACCUAUAAUCCCAGCACUUUGGGAGGCAGAAGUAGGGGAUCGUUUUGAGCCCAGAAGUUCAACACCUUGGACAACAGUGAGGCUUUAUCUCUAAAAAAAAAAAAAAAGCCAAGUAUGAUGACACUUAGCUGUGGUCCUAGAUACCCAUGAGCCUGAGGCAGGAGGAUUGCUUGAGUCCAAGAGGUCAAAGCUGCAGUGAGCUGUGAUCACACCACUGCAUUCCAGCUUGGGCAACAGAGCAAGGCCGUUUCUAACAACAACAACAACAACAACAAAAACUCUACAAAGAAAGAAAGAAAGGAAAGAAAGAAGGAAACAUGACAUCAGUUCCUCAACACUUCCUGCACUAAAACCCUUUGCCAAAUAACUCUAAACUGUAACUUUCUAGUGACUGUCCCCUUGGACUCCGAGCAAGACCAUGCCAGUUGCCCAGCUUCAAAAACUCUUCUCUUUGGCUCUUCUGUUAUAAGAACUUGCUCAAGCUAGCCUGCUGAAGGAUAAAAGAAACAUGGAACAGAGUCCAGUUACCCCAGUCCUCUGAGAGAAGGCCAGCUUAGAUAGGCCAAUAGUCUAUCUGCAAGUUCUUAAGGAGAAAAUGAAACAGUGGAUCCCCAAAGAGGUGAACAAGCUCAGCCAAGAUCAAGAGAUCCAAUAGCCUAACAGGCUCCCAUUUGAUCCCAGACACCUGAACAACAGCACUUAUUUUUGCUUAUCACUGAGCUUUUGAGGUUGUUACUAGGCAUUAUUGUGGCAAUUGAUACCUGAUACACAUGGGGUUGGUAUUAUUCCCAUAUUUCCAGUAAUGAAACAAAUUUAUCCUUUGUGAAGUAUGUAUUUGGUUAUAUCAAUUGGUGAAGUUUGAUAUAUUUGUUCAAGUUUUUUUCCCAAAAAUAAUAAUGUACAUUUAUAUGGAUUCUCACACUAUACCUGCAAAUACACAUCUGUGUAUGCAUACUUGCUUUCUACAUAUAAUGAAACAGAAUUAUAUUAUUCUUUAUAUAGUUGGGUAUCUGUCACAUUGUCUGUGUAAAUAUACACAGGUUAUCAGUUAAGUUUCUUAUAGCCUUUCUUGUGGUCUGUGAAACGGUAGGUUUUCCUUUUCUGCAUCUACAAAAAUAAAGGUCAUCUGAAAAAUCCCAUGUUGUUAAAAUGAGAAAUAUAUAUAUAUAUAUAUAUAUAUAUAUAUGAAUGAUACAUGUUCCAUAUUGGGAACUUCAGAAUAUAUAGUAUAAUUUAAAGGUAAUUGCAAAUGAGAUUUUUUUCAAUUCAAUAUAGCACUAUUACUAACAAAAAUUGAAUUGCAUACAUCUGCAUAGAAACAGUACAAAUUCCUUUAGGAUUUUAUGAAAAAAAAUGUUGUGGCGGGGAGCUGUUUAGGAAAAACCUGCGUAUGAUAUGUAAAAUGCUGGGCAGCUUUCUUCUUUUGAGUUUUGAAACUUCUGAUACUCUUCCUUUUUGCUUUUGGGUUCAAUAGAUUAAAAGGCACUUGGUCAUUAAAUACCUUUGAAGAUAGUUAUCUGCAAAUUUGACUUUGGGGUACAAAUAUACGGGAACAAUUUGUAACCUGGGAAAGUGGUAGUAUGAAAGAGUAAUAUUUGAACAAGAAUUGCUUGAGGAAGUAUUUCCUACUUUUGACAGGCAUCAAUAGCAGAUGGUGAGACCUACUGGGAAAUAAGUGCAAGUAUUGAGAGAGGGAAUACUGUAUAGUUGCAAAUAUAAGAUCUGAUGCAGCAGAAAUCUCUCUCUGGAAACUGAAGUUAAAUUGCCCAUUAAUGUUUUAUAAACACUUUUUCUAAUGGAAGAGCUAAAAAUUAAUCAGAAAAGAAGAGGUAUUUUGGAUAGCAAGAUUUGUGCAGAAAUUUCUUAGGGUUUUCUGGAAGCAAUAGGCUAGCUCUUUAGAUUGUGUAAAAUGUGCAAUGGGGACAACACAACUUUUAAAUUAUUUUUUGGAGUUUAAGUUGUUUGAAUGUAGCAUUGAGUAAAAUGUGUGAAUGUUGCAUUAGAAAAAAAAGACAGCAAAUGUUUAGAAGAAUAGAAUUGAAGUUUACUUUUUCUAAAUGAUUAUAUACUGUUUAAAAAGUUUUCUAUCACAUGUCAUAAUUUCAUUCUUAAUAUAUGAAAAAUAAAUUUGUUCAAAAAUCAAGAUUUUUAAAAUACACAUAAAAUUAAUUUUAAAAUAAUGUAAAAAUAUGUGAAUUAACUUUUCAUUGAGAAUCUAAUAAUCCAAACACCUUCUCAUAGUCACACAAAGAUACACCUACACACACAUACACAAACACACACAUGCCAAAUAUAUAACCAUUUUACUUAAUUUUUUACUAUAUUAAAGUUGUUUCUACAAUUGGAAGGUGUUUGCCAUAAUUUUAUUUAAAUGACUGAGUAUGAAUUUAUUAAGCACCUUAUUUUAGGACACAAAAUCUAGCUACUACCAAUAUCCUGAAAUACAUGUGACUGACUAGCCUUAUUGAGUAGAACAUUUGGUUUAAACACAUAAAACAAUUAAAUGUUUAAAAUAAAUCAGCGAGAAUAUGUUUGAUAGCCAAUAUAUAACUGAAGUUAUAAUCUAACAAAUAUUUCUCCUUAUGAUCAAGCAUCUGCCCUUAUGUACGAUCAUUUUCUGUGAAACAGAAGAAUUCACAUGUCAUGUUUACUGAAACUUGAGAUCUACAGGAAAAAGGAGGAAGACAGAGAAUCUUUACAUAUAAAAACAGAUAUACAAAAUUAACAUAAACAUCUAAAUAUGGGCUGAAUCAUGAUCCCCAAAAUUUAUAUGAUGAAGUUGUAACUCCAGUACUUCUGAAUGUGACUGUAUUUGAAGAUAAGGUCUUUGAAGAAGUAAUUAAGUUUAAAUAGGGGUAAUUAAGGUGGGCCCUAAUCUGAUAUGGCUGGUGUCCCUGUAAGAAGAGGAGUUCAGGACACAGAGGGAAGCAUAGGCCAAAGAUGGCCUUGUCCAGCCUAGAAGAGAGGUCUCAGGAGAAACCAGCCCUGCUAACCCUUUAUCUAUUUCAGGCUUCUAGCCUCCAGAAUUGUGGGAAAAUUAAUUUCUGUUGUUGAAAUUAAUUUCUGUGGUACUUUGAUAUGUUAGCCCAAGAAAACGAUACAAAUAUAUACUAUAGAAAAAAAUAAAAUUAUUUAAACAUAAGAAAGCCAGUUCUUUGUUAUUGUCAUAAUAGAUGUCUUAGAAAAAGCUAUGCUUCCUUUUAUGUAAUUUUCCAAAUGGUGUUAUUUUUGGGACACAACCACUUCUGCUAUGAAAUUUCUCUACAUUUUGUAUGUAAAUUAUUUAUCCUCCAUCUUCUUCUCUCCACCCAGGCUCACUCUCUUCUUUCUAUUUUGCAGCAAGGAUGUCUCAUUAUCAAAAAUGUAUGCUACGGUUAAGCCUAAACGGAGGCAAGUACACGAAUAUGUUAGACUUAAAAAUCUUUCCAUGUUUCCUAAAACUCUCUCUGAGGGAAUUUCUCCUUUCUUAAUAAGUCAGUUGUUUUUGUUUAACCACUAAUUUCUCUUUCUAAGCAUAAGGGUAUAUGUGACACAGAUGAUGACAUUUUAUGGGAAGAUAUUUUACUAAUAAUUGAGAAAUAUUACAUCAGCCAAAAAUAGCAAACAUCCAGUUUUACUCCCUGUUCUCAAAAUAUUUGAAAUACAAAGAAAGAAAAAAAAGAAAACCAGUGUUUUGUUUUCUCAUCAGCAUACCAACUCUCAGCAUUCCCAGCCUGGGAUGUGUGUGUGUGUGUGUGUGUGUGUGUGUGUGUGUGUGUGUGUGUGUGUGUGUGUAGAAAGAGACAGAGACAGACACAGAGAGAGAGAGAGAGAGAAAGUAUUUAGUGAUUUUUAAAAAGCACUGGGAGAACUAUCCAAUGUUUUUUACUCUAAGAAAAAUUUAGAACAGCUGUGGAGGCUGGGAUCCCAGGGAAAAUGAGGUAAGAUUCCAGGUGCUGUCUUUGGCUGCCAGUUCUGUAAAACAGUAUUGUAUUAAGAUAAAUAAAUAGAUAGAUAAAUAAACACUGCUCUUUUAAUUACCAAGGAGGCGGGUUUUGGAAAAGAUGUGCCAAGUCACAUAUGAGUGCCUAUGCAACCCAGAUUUUAAUUUCCUAAUCCGUGUCCGUCUGUGUGGUGGGUUCCUGCCAGAGGCUGUUCAAACUGUCCUGGGCAUAAUUGCAGCAGGAGAAUCUGAGGAACUGUAAUGUAGGAUUACCUUGCCCUUUCUUUCUUUUCCUUAUUUUCCUUCAAGACUUUUAAGAGCAAUUUGGUAAAAAUGGUGUUUAAAAUUAAUUUCUUAGCACUAUUCAUCGAGUCAUCUUUAUUUCAGCGUCAUCGUUUCUGGGUUUAUCAAAACAACUCUGGAUUAAAAUACAAGGAUCCAUACUUUUGCAGAGCCCAUUUCACUCUGUGAGCAAAUCAGCAUGUAUUUAUGGCACAGGUAUAUAAUGGAAAACAAGUCUUUAACAUUAAAAAAUAUGGAAACUGAGGAUGCUGAAAUCAAAUCGUCAGGUAUACAAGGCCACAGAGGGGGCAAAGUGCUCUUGUCUUUUGUGGCUUCAAGCACAAUCCUAGAAAUUUUUUUUGGUUACCAUUGGGAG
rnacentral:lncRNA from 10 species